rnacentral:rRNA from 1 species
AUGGUUUGGCUUCUCGACGAUGUCUACGACACGAAACACCGGGCCUACAUGAUGCGCGAGAAGGAGAUGAAGCUUGAACCUUUGAAGAUUCGGUAUCACGGGGUCUCUGAUCCUGCCAUGCCUUACGAUGAGCGGUACACACCGUACAUCAAGCAGGCAGGACUACUCCCGUGGAUUCAGUUGGUCAGCCGAUCCACGCCGAAUCUGAACGCUCCACUGGUGUCCGCUCUUGCUGAUUGGUGGAGGCCGGAGACGCAUAGUUUCCAUCUUCGGACUGGGGAGAUGACCGUGACGCUCGAGGAUGUCUCGUUGAUCACCGAUCUUGCUAUCGACGGGAUGCCUCUCUGUAUGAGCACCGAUUCUGAUGGGUGGCGCGAGCAGAUGAUUGCUCUUAUCGGUAUGGCUCCUACCGAGGCUGAGGCUGAUGUAGAGGAGGGAGAAGAGAAGAAGAAGAAGAAAAGGAAAGCAUCCGGAGCUGCUUUCACGUGGAUUCAAACUCACUUUGCGACGUGCCCUCCGGAUGCCACUGAUGACGUGAUCCAGACACAUGCUCGUGUCUACAUGUGGUAUGUUGUGUCGAGGACUUUGUUUCCUGACUCCACUGGCAAGAACGCUCCAUGGAUGUGGCUGAAGGCGUUGACCGUCUUCGAUAGCAAAUGGAGCUGGGGUUCAGCGACUCUUGCCUACUUGUACCGACAGCUGGACGAUGCGUGUUGCAGGAUCACAGAUAGUGCAGGCAUUGGUGGUAAUAUGCUUCUACUUUCUGUAUGGAGCUGGGAGCGUCUGCCUGUUGGACGCUCGAAGAGCGUCAGGUUUAAUCCUUGGUAUGAAGAUGAAGAUGACGAAUUACGGCGCCCCACUUGGGCUUACAAGUGGGAUGUGGUUUCCGAGAUGACGAACGAUGUCAAUCUCAUGUACCAGAAGUACGUUGCCGAGUUGGACACGAUUACGCCCGAGCAGGUGGAAUGGCAGCCAUAUGGCGCCGAUGACAGACUUGGGUACACCCCGGAGUUUACCAUCAACCCAAUGUGCUUGCGGGAUAGGGAUCUCUGGCGUAUGCGGUGCCCACUGAUAUGCAACUGGGCUAUUGAGUUUCAUUUGCCACAUCGCGUGUCUCGUCAGUUUGGUCUGUUCCAGCCUCACCCGUCGGAAUGGGUGGAUACGGACAAAGCACUUCAUAGGUUGGACAGGAGAAGGCAGCAGAAGAUAAAGGACUGGGACAAGCAUCAUGCUUCGUAUGUUACCCGCUUCCAGCUUUGUGUGGAGGAAGCUCGUAGCAGUGCACGCGCCAAGCUUCGUGAGCAUUGUCCACUUGCUUUUGAUAACUACAUACGAUGGCUUCUUGAAAAUACUCGAGUUGAGAUAUGCCCGCCGGCAUAUAAUGAGGAUAUUCUUGAAGAACCCGUAAACUUUGAGGAUCUAUCAAAGGGGAAGUACAACAGAGAUGUCAGGGUAGGGCACGGAGUCCCUGCUGUUCCGGUGAUUAACUAUGUGCGCACCGAGAUCAAGAAAGCAGCUGAUGAGAGCCAGUCUAUUCUGGAGGAAACACCGGUUGGAAAAGGCAAUGAUGAUGGUCCACUACGAGCAUUCCUCAAGCGUCAGGCCAGGAAGUUAAGGCGGUUAUCGAAUCUUCUCAGUUGCCGUGAUCCCGAAAUUGAUGAACCAUCUGCCUCUAGGUCUGGUACACCAUCAGACCCCUCAUCUCACCAUCAGAGGGACGAUGUGAGUUCCUCAUAUGCUUAUCAGGAUGAUGAGGGUGCGGUCACCCAAGAGGGCGAUGAGCUUGAUGAUGACAUGACUUUGGCGGACGCUCAACUUCGGUCCCCAUAUGAGUUCAAGCCUAGGCAGCCCAGACGCCGGUACACGCCCAACAACUUUGACAACAGAGGCAACCCAAAGGUGGUCGUAGGGACCUCGCGGAUGGCUAGCUUGGAUCAUGAGGCGGAGGCGGAGGCGGAGGAGGAAGUGCGGGAAGAGGAGGCUCGUCCAUCCAGGAAGAAGAAGAUUGCCUGCAGGCGUGGCACCAGGAACACGCGCGGAAGGCAUUAG